CCGUUGCCGGCGACCGGCGCACGGGUGAGUAACACGUAUGCAACCUGCCCGUGGCAGGGGGAUAAGCGGGGGAAACCCCGUCUAAUACCGCGUAACGCGGCCUAGGGACAUCCCAAGGCCGCCAAAGGGAGCAAUCCCGGCCACGGAUGGGCAUGCGGCGCAUUAGCUAGUCGGCGGGGUAACGGCCCACCGAGGCGACGAUGCGUAGGGGUUCUGAGAGGAAGGCCCCCCACACUGGUACUGAGACACGGACCAGACUCCUACGGGAGGCAGCA
rnacentral:rRNA from 1 species